GCCAUGAAAAGGCUAUAAUACGGCCUCUGGACGCCUAAUAAAGGCCUUACACGUAAAUCACAAGGUUCCACGCGUCCAAGCUUGUUACCAUUGGUCUAGUUCUUCCACUCUCAAUGCACUACGCCGUCCUAAGUUGUUUUCCCUGGUUCCAUGGCUUUACAACGCCGUAAUCCACAUGCACACGCCAUGAAGAGGCUAUAAUACGGCCUCUGGACGCCUAAUAAAGGCCCUACACGUAAAUCACGUGGUUCCACGCGUCCAAGCUUGGUACCAUUGGUCUAGUUCUUCCACUCUCAAUACACCACGCCGUCCUAAGUUGUUUUCUCUGGUUCCAUGUGUUUAGAACGCCGUAAACCACAUGCACACGCCAUUGAAAGGCCAUAAUACGGCCAUUUGCCGCCUAUUAAAGGCCUUACACGUAAAUCGCGUGUUUCCGCGUGACUGCGCAGGUUACUAUUGGUCUAGUUCUUCCACUCUCAAUGCACUACGCCGUCCUAAGUUGUUUUUCCUGGUUCCAUGGCUUUACAACGCCGUAAACCACAUGCACACGCCAUGAAAAUGCUAUAAUAUGGCCUUUUGACGCCUAUUAAAUGCCUUACACGUAAAUCACCUGGUUCCACGCGUCCAAGCAUGUUACCAUUGGUCUAGUUCUUCCACUCUCAAUACACUACGCCGUCCUAAGUUGUUUUCCCUGGUUCCAUGGCUUUACAACGCCGUAAUCCACAUGCACACGCCAUGAAAAGGCUAUAAUACGGCCUCUGGACGCCUAAUAAAGGCCUUACACGUAAAUCACGUGGUUCCACGCGUCCAAGCUUGUUACCAUUAGUCUAGUUCUUCCACUCUCAAUACACUACGCCGUCCUAAGUUGUUUUUUCUGGUUCCAUGGCUUUACAACGCCGUAAACCACAUGCACACGCCAUGAAAAGGCUGUAAUACGGCCUUUUGACGCCUAUUAAAUGCCUUACACGUAAUCGUGUGGUUUCGCGUGCCUGCGCAGGUUACCAUUGGUGUAGUCCUUCCACUCUCAAUACACUAGAACGUCCUAAGUUGUUUUUCCUGGUUCCAUGGCUUUACAACGCCGUAAACCACAUGCACACGCCAUGAAAAGGCUAUAAUACGGCCUUUUGACGCCUAUUAAAUGCCUUACACGUAAAUCACGGGGUUCCACGCGUCCAAGCUUGUUACCAUUGGUCUAGUUCUUCCACUCUCAAUACACUACGACGUCCUAAGUUGUUUUCCCUGGUUCCAUGGCUUUACAACGAUGUAAACCACAUACACACGCCAUGAAGAGGCUAUAAUACGGCCUUUUGACGCCUAUUAAAUGCCUUACACGUUAUCGUGUGGUUUGGCGUGCCUGCGCAGGUUACCAUUGGUCUAGUCCUUCCACUCUCAAUACACUAGAACGUCCUAAAUUGUUUUUCCUGGUUCCAUGGCUUUACAACGCCGUAAACCACAUGCACACGCCAUGAAAAUGCUAUAAUACGGCCUUUUGACGCCUAUUAAAUGCCUUACACGUAAAUCACCGGGUUCCACGCGUCCAAGCAUGUUACCAUUGGUCUAGUUCUUCCACUCUCAAUACACUACGCCGUCCUAAGUCGUUUUCCCUGGUUUCAUGGCUUUACAACGCCGUAAUCCACAUGCACACGCCAUGAAGAGGCUAUGAUACGGCCUCUGGAAGCCUAAUAAAGACCUUACACGUAAAUCACGUGGUUCCACGCGUCCAAGCUUGUUACCAUUGGUCUAGUUCUUCCACUCCCAAUACACUACGCCGUCCUAAGUUGUUUUCCCUGGUUCCAUGGCUAUACAACGCCGCAAUCCACAUGCACACGCCAUGAAAAGGCUAUAAUACGGCCUCUGGACGCCGAAUAAAGGCCUUACACGUAAAUCACGUGGUUCCACGCGUCCAAGCUUGUUACCAUUGGUCUAGUUCUUCCACUCUCAAUACACUACGCCGUCAUAAGUUGUUUUUCCUGGUUCCAUGGCUUUACAACGCCGUAAACCACAUGCACACGCCAUGAAAAGGCUAUAAUACGGCCUUUUGACGCCUAUUAAAUGCCUUACACGUAAUCGUGUGGUUUCGCGUGCCUGCGCAGGUUACCAUUGGUCUAGUUCUUCCACUCUCAAUGCACUACGCCGUCCUAAGUUGUUUUUCCUGGUUCCAUGGCUUUACAACGCCGUAAUCCACAUGCACACGCCAUGAAGAGGCUAUAAUACGGCCUCUGGACGCCUAAUAAAGGCCCUACAAGUAAAUCACGUGGUUCCACGCGUCCAAGACUGUUACCAUUGGUCUAGUUCUUCCACUCCCAAUACACUACGCCGUCCUAAGUUGUUUUCUCUGGUUCCAUGGCUUUACAACGCCGUAAACCACAUGCACACGACAUGAAAAGGCUAUAAUACGGCCUUUUGACGCCUAAUAAAUGCCUUACACGUAAUCGUGUGGUUUCGCGUGCCUGCGCAAUUUACCAUUGGUCUAGUCCUUCCACUCUCAAUACACUAGAACGUCCUAAGUUGUUAUUCCUGGUUCCAUGGCUUCAAAACGCCGUAAUCCACAUGCACACGCCAUGAAAAGGCUAUAAUACGGCCUCUGGACGCCUAAUAAAGGCCUUACACGUAAAUCACAAGGUUCCACGCGUCCAAGCUUGUUACCAUUGGUCUAGUUCUUCCACUCUCAAUGCACUACGCCGUCCUAAGUUGUUUUCCCUGGUUCCAUGGCUUUACAACGCCGUAAUCCACAUGCACACGCCAUGAAGAGGCUAUAAUACGGCCUCUGGACGCCUAAUAAAGGCCCUACACGUAAAUCACGUGGUUCCACGCGUCCAAGCCUGUUACCAUUGGUCUAGUUCUUCCACUCCCAAUACACUACGCCGUCCUAAGUUGUUUUUCCUGGUUCCAUAGCUUUACAACGCCGUAAACCACAUGCACACGCCAUGAAAAGGCUAUAACGCGGCCUUUUGACGCCUAAUAAAGGCCUUACACGUAAAUCACGUGGUUCCACGCGUCCAAGCUUGGUACCAUUGGUCUAGUUCUUCCACUCUCAAUACACCACGCCGUCCUAAGUUGUUUUCUCUGGUUCCAUGUGUUUAGAACGCCGUAAACCACAUGCACACGCCAUUGAAAGGCCAUAAUACGGCCAUUUGCCGCCUAUUAAAGGCCUUACACGUAAAUCGCGUGUUUCCGCGUGACUGCGCAGGUUACUAUUGGUCUAGUUCUUCCACUCUCAAUGCACUACGCCGUCCUAAGUUGUUUUUCCUGGUUCCAUGGCUUUACAACGCCGUAAACCACAUGCACACGCCAUGAAAAUGCUAUAAUAUGGCCUUUUGACGCCUAUUAAAUGCCUUACACGUAAAUCACCUGGUUCCACGCGUCCAAGCAUGUUACCAUUGGUCUAGUUCUUCCACUCUCAAUACACUACGCCGUCCUAAGUUGUUUUCCCUGGUUCCAUGGCUUUACAACGCCGUAAUCCACAUGCACACGCCAUGAAAAGGCUAUAAUACGGCCUCUGGACGCCUAAUAAAGGCCUUACACGUAAAUCACGUGGUUCCACGCGUCCAAGCUUGUUACCAUUAGUCUAGUUCUUCCACUCUCAAUACACUACGCCGUCCUAAGUUGUUUUUUCUGGUUCCAUGGCUUUACAACGCCGUAAACCACAUGCACACGCCAUGAAAAGGCUGUAAUACGGCCUUUUGACGCCUAUUAAAUGCCUUACACGUAAUCGUGUGGUUUCGCGUGCCUGCGCAGGUUACCAUUGGUGUAGUCCUUCCACUCUCAAUACACUAGAACGUCCUAAGUUGUUUUUCCUGGUUCCAUGGCUUUACAACGCCGUAAACCACAUGCACACGCCAUGAAAAGGCUAUAAUACGGCCUUUUGACGCCUAUUAAAUGCCUUACACGUAAAUCACGGGGUUCCACGCGUCCAAGCUUGUUACCAUUGGUCUAGUUCUUCCACUCUCAAUACACUACGCCGUCCUAAGUUGUUUUCCCUGGUUCCAUGGCUUUACAACGAUGUAAACCACAUACACACGCCAUGAAGAGGCUAUAAUACGGCCUUUUGACGCCUAUUAAAUGCCUUACACGUUAUCGUGUGGUUUCGCGUGCCUGCGCAGGUUACCAUUGGUCUAGUCCUUCCACUCUCAAUACACUAGAACGUCCUAAAUUGUUUUUCCUGGUUCCAUGGCUUUACAACGCCGUAAACCACAUGCACACGCCAUGAAAAUGCUAUAAUACGGCCUUUUGACGCCUAUUAAAUGCCUUACACGUAAAUCACCGGGUUCCACGCGUCCAAGCAUGUUACCAUUGGUCUAGUUCUUCCACUCUCAAUACACUACGCCGUCCUAAGUCGUUUUCCCUGGUUUCAUGGCUUUACAACGCCGUAAUCCACAUGCACACGCCAUGAAGAGGCUAUGAUACGGCCUCUGGAAGCCUAAUAAAGGCCUUACACGUAAAUCACGUGGUUCCACGCGUCCAAGCUUGUUACCAUUGGUCUAGUUCUUCCACUCCCAAUACACUACGCCGUCCUAAGUUGUUUUCCCUGGUUCCAUGGCUAUACAACGCCGCAAUCCACAUGCACACGCCAUGAAAAGGCUAUAAUACGGCCUCUGGACGCCGAAUAAAGGCCUUACACGUAAAUCACGUGGUUCCACGCGUCCAAGCUUGUUACCAUUGGUCUAGUUCUUUUACUCUCAAUACACUACGCCGUCCUAAGUUGUUUUUCCUGGUUCCAUGGCUUUACAACGCCGUAAACCACAUGCACACGACAUGAAAAGGCUAUAAUACGGCCUUUUGACGCCUAAUAAAUGCCUUACACGUAAUCGUGUGGUUUCGCGUGCCUGCGCAAUUUACCAUUGGUCUAGUCCUUCCACUCUCAAUACACUAGAACGUCCUAAGUUGUUAUUCCUGUUUCCAUGGCUUCAGAACGCCGUAAUCCACAUGCACACGCCAUGAAAAGGCUAUAAUACGGCCUCUGGACGCCUAAUAAAGGCCUUACACGUAAAUCACCGGGUUCCACGCGUCCAAGCAUGUUACCAUUGGUCUAGUUCUUCCACUCUCAAUACACUACGCCGUCCUAAGUCGUUUUCCCUGGUUUCAUGGCUUUACAACGCCGUAAUCCACAUGCACACGCCAUGAAGAGGCUAUGAUACGGCCUCUGGAAGCCUAAUAAAGGCCUUACACGUAAAUCACGUGGUUCCACGCGUCCAAGCUUGUUACCAUUGGUCUAGUUCUUCCACUCCCAAUACACUACGCCGUCCUAAGUUGUUUUCCCUGGUUCCAUGGCUAUACAACGCCGCAAUCCACAUGCACACGCCAUGAAAAGGCUAUAAUACGGCCUCUGGACGCCGAAUAAAGGCCUUACACGUAAAUCACGUGGUUCCACACGUCCAAGCUUGUUACCAUUGGUCUAGUUCUUCCACUCUCAAUACACUACGCCGUCCUAAGUUGUUUUUCCUGGUUCCAUGGCUUUACAACGCCGUAAACCACAUGCAGACGCCAUGAAAAGGCUAUAAUACGGCCUUUUGACGCCUAUUAAAUGCCUUACACGUAAUCGUGUGGUUUCGCGUGCCUGCGCAGGUUACCAUUGGUCUAGUUCUUCCACUCUCAAUGCACUACGCCGUCCUAAGUUGUUUUUCCUGGUUCCAUGGCUUUACAACGCCGUAAUCCACAUGCACACGCCAUGAAGAGGCUAUAAUACGGCCUCUGGACGCCUAAUAAAGGCCCUACAAGUAAAUCACGUGGUUCCACGCGUCCAAGCUUGUUACCAUUGGUCUAGUUCUUCCACUCUCAAUACACUACGCCGUCCUAAGUUGUUUUUCCUGGUUCCAUGGCUUUACAACGCCGUAAACCACAUGCACACGCCAUGAAAAGGCUAUAAUACGGCCUUUUGACGCCUAUUAAAUGCCUUACACGUAAUCGUGUGGUUUCGCGUGCCUGCGCAGGUUACCAUUGGUCUAGUUCUUCCACUCUCAAUGCACUACGCCGUCCUAAGUUGUUUUUCCUGGUUCCAUGGCUUUACAACGCCGUAAUCCACAUGCACACGCCAUGAAGAGGCUAUAAUACGGCUCCUGGACGCCUAAUAAAGGCCCUACAAGUAAAUCACGUGGUUCCACGCGUCCAAGACUGUUACCAUUGGUCUAGUUCUUCCACUCCCAAUACACUACGCCGUCCUAAGUUGUUUUCUCUGGUUCCAUGGCUUUACAACGCCGUAAACCACAUGCACACGACAUGAAAAGGCUAUAAUACGGCCUUUUGACGCCUAAUAAAUGCCUUACACGUAAUCGUGUGGUUUCGCGUGCCUGCGCAAUUUACCAUUGGUCUAGUCCUUCCACUCUCAAUACACUAGAACGUCCUAAGUUGUUAUUCCUGGUUCCAUGGCUUCAGAACGCCGUAAUCCACAUGCACACGCCAUGAAAAGGCUAUAAUACGGCCUCUGGACGCCUAAUAAAGGCCUUACACGUAAAUCACCGGGUUCCACGCGUCCAAGCAUGUUACCAUUGGUCUAGUUCUUCCACUCUCAAUACACUACGCCGUCCUAAGUCGUUUUCCCUGGUUUCAUGGCUUUACAACGCCGUAAUCCACAUGCACACGCCAUGAAGAGGCUAUGAUACGGCCUCUGGAAGCCUAAUAAAGGCCUUACACGUAAAUCACGUGGUUCCACGCGUCCAAGCUUGUUACCAUUGGUCUAGUUCUUCCACUCCCAAUACACUACGCCGUCCUAAGUUGUUUUCCCUGGUUCCAUGGCUAUACAACGCCGCAAUCCACAUGCACACGCCAUGAAAAGGCUAUAAUACGGCCUCUGGACGCCGAAUAAAGGCCUUACACGUAAAUCACGUGGUUCCACACGUCCAAGCUUGUUACCAUUGGUCUAGUUCUUCCACUCUCAAUACACUACGCCGUCCUAAGUUGUUUUUCCUGGUUCCAUGGCUUUACAACGCCGUAAACCACAUGCACACGCCAUGAAAAGGCUAUAAUACGGCCUUUUGACGCCUAUUAAAUGCCUUACACGUAAUCGUGUGGUUUCGCGUGCCUGCGCAGGUUACCAUUGGUCUAGUUCUUCCACUCUCAAUGCACUACGCCGUCCUAAGUUGUUUUUCCUGGUUCCAUGGCUUUACAACGCCGUAAUCCACAUGCACACGCCAUGAAGAGGCUAUAAUACGGCCUCUGGACGCCUAAUAAAGGCCCUACAAGUAAAUCACGUGGUUCCACGCGUCCAAGACUGUUACCAUUGGUCUAGUUCUUCCACUCCCAAUACACUACGCCGUCCUAAGUUGUUUUCUCUGGUUCCAUGGCUUUACAACGCCGUAAACCACAUGCACACGACAUGAAAAGGCUAUAAUACGGCCUUUUGACGCCUAAUAAAUGCCUUACACGUAAUCGUGUGGUUUCGCGUGCCUGCGCAAUUUACCAUUGGUCUAGUCCUUCCACUCUCAAUACACUAGAACGUCCUAAGUUGUUAUUCCUGGUUCCAUGGCUUCAGAACGCCGUAAUCCACAUGCACACGCCAUGAAAAGGCUACAAUACGGCCUCUGGACGCCUAAUAAAGGCCUUACACGUAAAUCACAAGGUUCCACGCGUCCAAGCUUGUUACCAUUGGUCUAGUUCUUCCACUCUCAAUGCACUACGCCGUCCUAAGUUGUUUUCCCUGGUUCCAUGGCUUUACAACGCCGUAAUCCACAUGCACACGCCAUGAAGAGGCUAUAAUACGGCCUCUGGACGAUUAAUAAAGGCCCUACACGUAAAUCACGUGGUUCCACGCGUCCAAGCCUGUUACCAUUGGUCUAGUUCUUCCACUCCCAAUACACUACGCCGUCCUAAGUUGUUUUUCCUGGUUCCAUGGCUUUACAACGCCGUAAUCCACAUGCACACGCCAUGAAGAGGCUAUAAUACGGCCUCUGGACGCCUAAUAAAGGCCCUACAAGUAAAUCACGUGGUUCCACGCGUCCAAGACUGUUACCAUUGGUCUAGUUCUUCCACUCCCAAUACACUACGCCGUCCUAAGUUGUUUUCUCUGGUUCCAUGGCUUUACAACGCCGUAAACCACAUGCACACGACAUGAAAAGGCUAUAAUACGGCCUUUUGACGCCUAAUAAAUGCCUUACACGUAAUCGUGUGGUUUCGCGUGCCUGCGCAAUUUACCAUUGGUCUAGUCCUUCCACUCUCAAUACACUAGAACGUCCUAAGUUGUUAUUCCUGGUUCCAUGGCUUCAGAACGCCGUAAUCCACAUGCACACGCCAUGAAAAGGCUAUAAUACGGCCUCUGGACGCCUAAUAAAGGCCUUACACGUAAAUCACCGGGUUCCACGCGUCCAAGCAUGUUACCAUUGGUCUAGUUCUUCCACUCUCAAUACACUACGCCGUCCUAAGUCGUUUUCCCUGGUUUCAUGGCUUUACAACGCCGUAAUCCACAUGCACACGCCAUGAAGAGGCUAUGAUACGGCCUCUGGAAGCCUAAUAAAGGCCUUACACGUAAAUCACGUGGUUCCACGCGUCCAAGCUUGUUACCAUUGGUCUAGUUCUUCCACUCCCAAUACACUACGCCGUCCUAAGUUGUUUUCCCUGGUUCCAUGGCUAUACAACGCCGCAAUCCACAUGCACACGCCAUGAAAAGGCUAUAAUACGGCCUCUGGACGCCGAAUAAAGGCCUUACACGUAAAUCACGUGGUUCCACGCGUCCAAGCUUGUUACCAUUGGUCUAGUUCUUCCACUCUCAAUACACUACGCCGUCCUAAGUUGUUUUUCCUGGUUCCAUGGCUUUACAACGCCGUAAACCACAUGCACACGCCAUGAAAAGGCUAUAAUACGGCCUUUUGACGCCUAUUAAAUGCCUUACACGUAAUCGUGUGGUUUCGCGUGCCUGCGCAGGUUACCAUUGGUCUAGUUCUUCCACUCUCAAUGCACUACGCCGUCCUAAGUUGUUUUUCCUGGUUCCAUGGCUUUACAACGCCGUAAUCCACAUGCACACGCCAUGAAGAGGCUAUAAUACGGCCUCUGGACGCCUAAUAAAGGCCCUACAAGUAAAUCACGUGGUUCCACGCUCCAAGACUGUUACCAUUGGUCUAGUUCUUCCACUCCCAAUACACUACGCCGUCCUAAGUUGUUUUCUCUGGUUCCAUGGCUUUACAACGCCGUAAACCACAUGCACACGACAUGAAAAGGCUAUAAUACGGCCUUUUGACGCCUAAUAAAUGCCUUACACGUAAUCGUGUGGUUUCGCGUGCCUGCGCAAUUUACCAUUGGUCUAGUCCUUCCACUCUCAAUACACUAGAACGUCCUAAGUUGUUAUUCCUGGUUCCAUGGCUUCAGAACGCCGUAAUCCACAUGCACACGCCAUGAAAAGGCUAUAAUACGGCCUCUGGACGCCUAAUAAAGGCCUUACACGUAAAUCACAAGGUUCCACGCGUCCAAGCUUGUUACCAUUGGUCUAGUUCUUCCACUCUCAAUGCACUACGCCGUCCUAAGUUGUUUUCCCUGGUUCCAUGGCUUUACAACGCCGUAAUCCACAUGCACACGCCAUGAAGAGGCUAUAAUACGGCCUCUGGACGCCUAAUAAAGGCCCUACACGUAAAUCACGUGGUUCCACGCGUCCAAGCCUGUUACCAUUGGUCUAGUUCUUCCACUCUCAAUACACUACGCCGUCCUAAGUUGUUUUCCCUGGUUUCAUGGCUUUACAACGCCGUAAUCCACAUGCACACGCCAUGAAGAGGCUAUGAUACGGCCUCUGGACGCCUAAUAAAGGCCUUACACGUAAAUCACGUGGUUCCACGCGUCCAAGCUUGUUACCAUUGGUCUAGUUCUUCCACUCCCAAUACACUACGCCGUCCUAAGUUGUUUUCCCUGGUUCCAUGGCUAUACAACGCCGUAAUCCACAUGCACACGCCAUGAAAAGGCUAUAAUACGGCCUCUGGACGCCGAAUAAAGGCCUUACACGUAAAUCACGUGGUUCCACGCGUCCAAGCUUGUUACCAUUGGUCUAGUUCUUCCACUCUCAAUACACUACGCCGUCCUAAGUUGUUUUUCCUGGUUCCAUGGCUUUACAACGCCGUAAACCACAUGCACACGCCAUGAAGAGGCUAUAAUACGGCCUCUGGACGCCUAAUAAAGGCCCUACAAGUAAAUCACGUGGUUCCACGCGUCCAAGCCUGUUACCAUUGGUCUAGUUCUUCCACUCCCAAUACACUACGCCGUCCUAAGUUGUUUUUCCUGGUUCCAUGGCUUUACAACGCCGUAAACCACAUGCACACGCCAUGAAAAGGCUAUAACGCGGCCUUUUGACGCCUAAUAAAGGCCUUACACGUAAAUCACGUGGUUCCACGCGUUCAAGCUUGGUACCAUUGGUCUAGUUCUUCCACUCUCAAUACACCACGCCGUCCUAAGUUGUUUUCUCUGGUUCCAUGUGUUUAGAACGUCGUAAACCACAUGCACACGCCAUUGAAAGGCCAUAAUACGGCCAUUUGCCGCCUAUUAAAGGCCUUACACGUAAAUCGUGUGGUUUCGCGUGCCUGCGCAGGUUACCAUUGGUCUAGUUCUUCCACUCUCAAUGCACUACGCCGUCCUAAGUUGUUUUUCCUGGUUCCAUGGCUUUACAACGCCGUAAUCCACAUGCACACGCCAUGAAGAGGCUAUAAUACGGCCUCUGGACGCCUAAUAAAGGCCUUACACGUAAAUCACGUGGUUCCACGCGUCCAAGCUUGUUACCAUUGGUCUAGUUCUUCCACUCUCAAUACACUACGCCGUCCUAAGUUGUUCUCCCUGGUUUCAUGGCUUUUCAACGCCGUAAUCCACAUGCACACGCCAUGAAGAGGCUAUGAUACGGCCUCUGGACGCCUAAUAAAGGCCUUACACGUAAAUCACGUGGUUCCACGCGUCCAAGCUUGUUACCAUUGGUCUAGUUCUUCCACUCCCAAUACACUACGCCGUCCUAAGUUGUUUUCCCUGGUUCCAUGGCUAUACAACGCCGUAAUCCACAUGCACACGCCAUGAAAAGGCUAUAAUACGGCCUCUGGACGCCGAAUAAAGGCCUUACACGUAAAUCACGUGGUUCCACGCGUCCAAGCUUGUUACCAUUGGUCUAGUUCUUCCACUCUCAAUACACUACGCCGUCCUAAGUUGUUUUUCCUGGUUCCAUGGCUUUACAACGCCGUAAACCACAUGCACACGCCAUGAAAAGGCUAUAAUACGGCCUUUUGACGCCUAUUAAAUGCCUUACACGUAAUCGUGUGGUUUCGCGUGCCGGCGCAGGUUACCAUUGGUCUAGUUCUUCCACUCUCAAUGCACUACGCCGUCCUAAGUUGUUUUUCCUGGUUCCAUGGCUUUACAACGCCGUUCUCCACAUGCACACGCCAUGAAGAGGCUAUAAUACGGCCUCUGGACGCAUAAUAAAGGCCGUACAAGUAAAUCACGUGGUUCCACGCGUCCAAGCCUGUUACCAUUGGUCUAGUUCUUCCACUCCCAAUACACUACGCCGUCCUAAGUUGUUUUUCCUGAUUCCAUGGCUUUACAACGCCGUAAACCACAUGCACACGCCAUGAAAAGGCUAUAACGCGGCCUUUUGACGCCUAAUAAAGGCCUUACACGUAAAUCACGUGGUUCCACGCGUCCAAGCUUGGUACCAUUGGUCUAGUUCUUCCACUCUCAAUACACCACGCCGUCCUAAGUUGUUUUCUCUGGUUCCAUGUGUUUAGAACGUCGUAAACCACAUGCACACGCCAUUGAAAGGCCAUAAUACGGCCAUUUGCCGCCUAUUAAAGGCCUUACACGUAAAUCGCGUGUUUCCGCGUGACUGCGCAGGUUACUAUUGGUCUAGUUCUUCCACUCUCAAUGCACUACGCCGUCCUAAGUUGUUUUUCCUGGUUCCAUGGCUUUACAACGCCGUAAACCACAUGCACGCGCCAUGAAAAUUCUAUAAUAUGGCCUUUUGACGCCUAUUAAAUGCCUUACACGUAAAUCACGUGGUUCCACGCGUCCAAGCUUGUUACCAUUGGUCUAGUUCUUCCACUCUCAAUACACUACGCCGUCCUAAGUUGUUUUUCCUGGUUCCAUGGCUUUACAACGCCGUAAACCACAUGCACACGCCAUGAAAAGGCUGUAAUACGGCCUUUUGACGCCUAUUAAAUGCCUUACACGUAAAUCACGGGGUUCCACGCGUCCAAGCUUGUUACCAUUGGUCUAGUUCUUCCACUCUCAAUACACUACGCCGUCCUAAGUUGUUUUCCCUGGUUCCAUGGCUUUACAACGAUGUAAACCACAUACACACGCCAUGAAGAGGCUAUAAUACGGCCUUUUGACGCCUAUUAAAUGCCUUACACGUAAUCGUGUGGUUUUGCGUGCCUGCGCAGGUUACCAUUGGUCUAGUCCUUCCACUCUCAAUACACUAGAACGUCCUAAGUUGUUUUUCCUGGUUCCAUGGCUUUACAACGCCGUUCUCCACAUGCACACGCCAUGAAGAGGCUAUAACGCGGCCUUUUGACGCCUAAUAAAGGCCUUACACGUAAAUCACGUGGUUCCACGCGUUCAAGCUUGGUACCAUUGGUCUAGUUCUUCCACUCUCAAUACACUACGCCGUCCUAAGUUGUUUUCCCUGGUUCCAUGGCUUUACAACGAUGUAAACCACAUACACACGCCAUGAAAAGGCUAUAAUACGGCCUUUUGACGCCUAUUAAAUGCCUUACACGUAAUCGUGUGGUUUCGCGUGCCGGCGCAGGUUACCAUUGGUCUAGUUCUUCCACUCUCAAUGCACUACGCCGUCCUAAGUUGUUUUUCCUGGUUCCAUGGCUUUACAACGCCGUUCUCCACAUGCACACGCCAUGAAGAGGCUAUAAUACGGCCUCUGGACGCCUAAUAAAGGCCCUACAAGUAAAUCACGUGGUUCCACGCGUCCAAGCCUGUUACCAUUGGUCUAGUUCUUCCACUCCCAAUACACUACGCCGUCCUAAGUUGUUUUUCCUGGUUCCAUGGCUUUACAACGCCGUAAACCACAUGCACACGCCAUGAAAAGGCUAUAACGCGGCCUUUUGACGCCUAAUAAAGGCCUUACACGUAAAUCAUGUGGUUCCACGCGUUCAAGCUUGGUACCAUUGGUCUAGUUCUUCCACUCUCAAUACACCACGCCGUCCUAAGUUGUUUUCUCUGGUUCCAUGUGUUUAGAACGUCGUAAACCACAUGCACACGCCAUUGAAAGGCCAUAAUACGGCCAUUUGCCGCCUAUUAAAGGCCUUACACGUAAUCGUGUGGUUUCGCGUGCCUGCGCAGGUUACCAUUGGUCUAGUUCUUCCACUCUCAAUUCACUACGCCGUCCUAAGUUGUUUUUCCUGGUUCCAUGGCUUUACAACGCCGUAAUCCACAUGCACACGCCAUGAAGAGGCUAUAAUACGGCCUCUGGACGCCUAAUAAAGGCCCUACAAGUAAAUCACGUGGUUCCACGCGUCCAAGACUGUUACCAUUGGUCUAGUUCUUCCACUCCCAAUACACUACGCCGUCCUAAGUUGUUUUCCCUGGUUCCAUGGCUUUACAACGCCGUACACCACAUGCACACGCCAUGAAAAUGCUAUAAUACGGCCUUUUGACGCCUAUUAAAUGCCUUACACGUAAAUCACCGGGUUCCACGCGUCCAAGCAUGUUACCAUUGGUCUAGUUCUUCCACUCUCAAUACACUACGCCGUCCUAAGUUGUUCUCCCUGGUUUCAUGGCUUUUCAACGCCGUAAUCCACAUGCACACGCCAUGAAGAGGCUAUGAUACGGCCUCUGGACGCCUAAUAAAGGCCUUACACGUAAAUCACGUGGUUCCACGCGUCCAAGCUUGUUACCAUUGGUCUAGUUCUUCCACUCCCAAUACACUACGCCGUCCUAAGUUGUUUUCCCUGGUUCCAUGGCUAUACAACGCCGUAAUCCACAUGCACACGCCAUGAAAAGGCUAUAAUACGGCCUCUGGACGCCGAAUAAAGGCCUUACACGUAAAUCACGUGGUUCCACGCGUCCAAGCUUGUUACCAUUGGUCUAGUUCUUCCACUCUCAAUACACUACGCCGUCCUAAGUUGUUUUUCCUGGUUCCAUGGCUUUACAACGCCGUAAACCACAUGCACACGCCAUGAAAAGGCUAUAAUACGGCCUUUUGACGCCUAUUAAAUGCCUUACACGUAAUCGUGUGGUUUCGCGUGCCGGCGCAGGUUACCAUUGGUCUAGUUCUUCCACUCUCAAUGCACUACGCCGUCCUAAGUUGUUUUUCCUGGUUCCAUGGCUUUACAACGCCGUUCUCCACAUGCACACGCCAUGAAGAGGCUAUAAUACGGCCUCUGGACGCAUAAUAAAGGCCGUACAAGUAAAUCACGUGGUUCCACGCGUCCAAGCCUGUUACCAUUGGUCUAGUUCUUCCACUCCCAAUACACUACGCCGUCCUAAGUUGUUUUUCCUGAUUCCAUGGCUUUUCAACGCCGUAAACCACAUGCACACGCCAUGAAAAGGCUAUAACGCGGCCUUUUGACGCCUAAUAAAGGCCUUACACGUAAAUCACGUGGUUCCACGCGUCCAAGCUUGGUACCAUUGGUCUAGUUCUUCCACUCUCAAUACACCACGCCGUCCUAAGUUGUUUUCUCUGGUUCCAUGUGUUUAGAACGUCGUAAACCACAUGCACACGCCAUUGAAAGGCCAUAAUACGGCCUUUUGACGCCUAUUAAAUGCCUUACACGUAAAUCACGUGGUUCCACGCGUCCAAGCUUGUUACCAUUGGUCUAGUUCUUCCACUCUCAAUACACUACGCCGUCCAAAGUUGUUUUUCCUGGUUCCAUGGCUUUACAACGCCGUAAACCACAUGCACACGCCAUGAAAAGGCUGUAAUACGGCCUUUUGACGCCUAUUAAAUGCCUUACACGUAAAUCACGGGGUUCCACGCGUCCAAGCUUGUUACCAUUGGUCUAGUUCUUCCACUCUCAAUACACUACGCCGUCCUAAGUUGUUUUUCCUGAUUCCAUGGCUUUACAACGCCGUAAACCACAUGCACACGCCAUGAAAAGGCUAUAACGCGGCCUUUUGACGCCUAAUAAAGGCCUUACACGUAAAUCACGUGGUUCCACGCGUCCAAGCUUGGUACCAUUGGUCUAGUUCUUCCACUCUCAAUACACCACGCCGUCCUAAGUUGUUUUCUCUGGUUCCAUGUGUUUAGAACGUCGUAAACCACAUGCACACGCCAUUGAAAGGCCAUAAUACGGCCAUUUGCCGCCUAUUAAAGGCCUUACACGUAAAUCGCGUGUUUCCGCGUGACUGCGCAGGUUACUAUUGGUCUAGUUCUUCCACUCUCAAUGCACUACGCCGUCCUAAGUUGUUUUUCCUGGUUCCAUGGCUUUACAACGCCGUAAACCACAUGCACGCGCCAUGAAAAUUCUAUAAUAUGGCCUUUUGACGCCUAUUAAAUGCCUUACACGUAAAUCACGUGGUUCCACGCGUCCAAGCUUGUUACCAUUGGUCUAGUUCUUCCACUCUCAAUACACUACGCCGUCCUAAGUUGUUUUUCCUGGUUCCAUGGCUUUACAACGCCGUAAACCACAUGCACACGCCAUGAAAAGGCUGUAAUACGGCCUUUUGACGCCUAUUAAAUGCCUUACACGUAAAUCACGGGGUUCCACGCGUCCAAGCUUGUUACCAUUGGUCUAGUUCUUCCACUCUCAAUACACUACGCCGUCCUAAGUUGUUUUCCCUGGUUCCAUGGCUUUACAACGAUGUAAACCACAUACACACGCCAUGAAGAGGCUAUAAUACGGCCUUUUGACGCCUAUUAAAUGCCUUACACGUAAUCGUGUGGUUUUGCGUGCCUGCGCAGGUUACCAUUGGUCUAGUCCUUCCACUCUCAAUACACUAGAACGUCCUAAGUUGUUUUUCCUGGUUCCAUGGCUUUACAACGCCGUUCUCCACAUGCACACGCCAUGAAGAGGCUAUAACGCGGCCUUUUGACGCCUAAUAAAGGCCUUACACGUAAAUCACGUGGUUCCACGCGUUCAAGCUUGGUACCAUUGGUCUAGUUCUUCCACUCUCAAUACACUACGCCGUCCUAAGUUGUUUUCCCUGGUUCCAUGGCUUUACAACGAUGUAAACCACAUACACACGCCAUGAAAAGGCUAUAAUACGGCCUUUUGACGCCUAUUAAAUGCCUUACACGUAAUCGUGUGGUUUCGCGUGCCGGCGCAGGUUACCAUUGGUCUAGUUCUUCCACUCUCAAUGCACUACGCCGUCCUAAGUUGUUUUUCCUGGUUCCAUGGCUUUACAACGCCGUUCUCCACAUGCACACGCCAUGAAGAGGCUAUAAUACGGCCUCUGGACGCCUAAUAAAGGCCCUACAAGUAAAUCACGUGGUUCCACGCGUCCAAGCCUGUUACCAUUGGUCUAGUUCUUCCACUCCCAAUACACUACGCCGUCCUAAGUUGUUUUUCCUGGUUCCAUGGCUUUACAACGCCGUAAACCACAUGCACACGCCAUGAAAAGGCUAUAACGCGGCCUUUUGACGCCUAAUAAAGGCCUUACACGUAAAUCACGUGGUUCCACGCGUUCAAGCUUGGUACCAUUGGUCUAGUUCUUCCACUCUCAAUACACCACGCCGUCCUAAGUUGUUUUCUCUGGUUCCAUGUGUUUAGAACGUCGUAAACCACAUGCACACGCCAUUGAAAGGCCAUAAUACGGCCAUUUGCCGCCUAUUAAAGGCCUUACACGUAAAUUGCGUGUUUCCGCGUGACUGCGCAGGUUACUAUUGGUCUAGUUCUUCCACUCUCAAUGCACUACGCCGUCCUAAGUUGUUUUUCCUGGUUCCAUGGCUUUACAACGCCGUAAACCACAUGCACACGCUAUGAAAAUGCUAUAAUAUGGCCUUUUGACGCCUAUUAAAUGCCUUACACGUAAAUCACGUGGUUCCACGCGUCCAAGCUUGUUACCAUUGGUCUAGUUCUUCCACUCUCAAUACACUACGCCGUCCUAAGUUGUUUUCCUGGUUCCAUGGCUUUACAACGCCGUAAACCACAUGCACACGCCAUGAAAAGGCUAUAAUACGGCCUUUUGACGCCUAUUAAAUGCCUUACACGUAAUCGUGUGGUUUCGCGUGCCUGCGCAGGUUACCAUUGGUCUAGUUCUUCCACUCUCAAUUCACUACGCCGUCCUAAGUUGUUUUUCCUGGUUCCAUGGCUUUACAACGCCGUAAUCCACAUGCACACGCCAUGAAGAGGCUAUAAUACGGCCUCUGGACGCCUAAUAAAGGCCCUACAAGUAAAUCACGUGGUUCCACGCGUCCAAGGCUGUUACCAUUGGUCUAGUUCUUCCACUCCCAAUACACUACGCCGUCCUAAGUUGUUUUCCCUGGUUCCAUGGCUUUACAACGCCGUACACCACAUGCACACGCCAUGAAAAUGCUAUAAUACGGCCUUUUGACGCCUAUUAAAUGCCUUACACGUAAAUCACCGGGUUCCACGCGUCCAAGCAUGUUACCAUUGGUCUAGUUCUUCCACUCUCAAUACACUACGCCGUCCUAAGUUGUUCUCCCUGGUUUCAUGGCUUUUCAACGCCGUAAUCCACAUGCACACGCCAUGAAGAGGCUAUGAUACGGCCUCUGGACGCCUAAUAAAGGCCUUACACGUAAAUCACGUGGUUCCACGCGUCCAAGCUUGUUACCAUUGGUCUAGUUCUUCCACUCCCAAUACACUACGCCGUCCUAAGUUGUUUUCCCUGGUUCCAUGGCUAUACAACGCCGUAAUCCACAUGCACACGCCAUGAAAAGGCUAUAAUACGGCCUCUGGACGCCGAAUAAAGGCCUUACACGUAAAUCACGUGGUUCCACGCGUCCAAGCUUGUUACCAUUGGUCUAGUUCUUCCACUCUCAAUACACUACGCCGUCCUAAGUUGUUUUUCCUGGUUCCAUGGCUUUACAACGCCGUAAACCACAUGCACACGCCAUGAAAAGGCUAUAAUACGGCCUUUUGACGCCUAUUAAAUGCCUUACACGUAAUCGUGUGGUUUUGCGUGCCGGCGCAGGUUACCAUUGGUCUAGUUCUUCCACUCUCAAUGCACUACGCCGUCCUAAGUUGUUUUUCCUGGUUCCAUGGCUUUACAACGCCGUUCUCCACAUGCACACGCCAUGAAGAGGCUAUAAUACGGCCUCUGGACGCAUAAUAAAGGCCCUACAAGUAAAUCACGUGGUUCCACGCGUCCAAGCCUGUUACCAUUGGUCUACUUCUUCCACUCCCAAUACACUACGCCGUCCUAAGUUGUUUUUCCUGAUUCCAUGGCUUUUCAACGCCGUAAACCACAUGCACACGCCAUGAAAAGGCUAUAACGCGGCCUUUUGACGCCUAAUAAAGGCCUUACACGUAAAUCACGUGGUUCCACGCGUCCAAGCUUGGUACCAUUGGUCUAGUUCUUCCACUCUCAAUACACCACGCCGUCCUAAGUUGUUUUCUCUGGUUCCAUGUGUUUAGAACGUCGUAAACCACAUGCACACGCCAUUGAAAGGCCAUAAUACGGCCAUUUGCCGCCUAUUAAAGGCCUUACACGUAAAUCGCGUGUUUCUGCGUGACUGCGCAGGUUACUAUUGGUCUAGUUCUUCCACUCUCAAUGCACUACGCCGUCCUAAGUUGUUUUUCCUGGUUCCAUGGCUUUACAACGCCGUAAACCACAUGCACACGCCAUGAAAAUGCUAUAAUAUGGCCUUUUGACGCCUAUUAAAUGCCUUACACGUAAAUCACGUGGUUCCACGCGUCCAAGCUUGUUACCAUUGGUCUAGUUCUUCCACUCUCAAUACACUACGCCGUCCAAAGUUGUUUUUCCUGGUUCCAUGGCUUUACAACGCCGUAAACCACAUGCACACGCCAUGAAAAGGCUGUAAUACGGCCUUUUGACGCCUAUUAAAUGCCUUACACGUAAAUCACGGGGUUCCACGCGUCCAAGCUUGUUACCAUUGGUCUAGUUCUUCCACUCUCAAUACACUACGCCGUCCUAAGUUGUUUUUCCUGAUUCCAUGGCUUUACAACGCCGUAAACCACAUGCACACGCCAUGAAAAGGCUAUAACGCGGCCUUUUGACGCCUAAUAAAGGCCUUACACGUAAAUCACGUGGUUCCACGCGUCCAAGCUUGGUACCAUUGGUCUAGUUCUUCCACUCUCAAUACACCACGCCGUCCUAAGUUGUUUUCUCUGGUUCCAUGUGUUUAGAACGCCGUAAACCACAUGCACACGCCAUGAAAAGGCUAUAACGCGGCCUUUUGACGCCUAAUAAAGGCCUUACACGUAAAUCACGAGGUUCCACGCGUCCAAGCUUGGUACCAUUGGUCUAGUUCUUCCACUCUCAAUACACCACGCCGUCCUAAGUUGUUUUCUCUGGUUCCAUGUGUUUAGAACGCCGUAAACCACAUGCACACGCCAUUGAAAGGCCAUAAUACGGCCAUUUGCCGCCUAUUAAAUGCCUUACACGUAAUCGUGUGGUUUUGCGUGCCUGUGCAGGUUACCAUUGGUCUAGUCCUUCCACUCUCAAUACACUAGAACGUCCUAAGUUGUUUUUCCUGGUUCCAUGGCUUCACAACGCCGUAAACCACAUGCACACGCCAUGAAAAUGCUAUAAUACGGCCUUUUGACGCCUAUUAAAUGCCUUACACGUAAAUCACCGGGUUCCACGCGUCCAAGCAUGUUACCAUUGGUCUAAUUCUUCCACUCUCAAUACACUACGCCGUCCUAAGUUGUUUUUCCUGGUUUCAUGGCUUUACAACGCCGUUAUCCACAUGCACACGCCAUGAAGAGGCUAUGAUACAGCCUCUGGACGCUUAAUAAAGGCCUUACACGUAAAUCACGUGGUUCCACGCGUCCAAGCUUGUUACCAUUGGUCUAGUUCUUCCACUCCCAAUACACUACGCCGUCCUAAGUUGUUUUUCCUGGUUCCAUGGCUUUACAACGCCGUAAACCACAUGCACACGCCAUGAAAAGGCUAUAACGCGGCCUUUUGACGCCUAAUAAAGGCCUUACACGUAAAUCACGAGGUUCCACGCGUCCAAGCUUGGUACCAUUGGUCUAGUUCUUCCACUCUCAAUACACCACGCCGUCCUAAGUUGUUUUCUCUGGUUCCAUGUGUUUAGAACGCCGUAAACCACAUGCACACGCCAUUGAAAGGCCAUAAUACGGCCAUUUGCCGCCUAUUAAAGGCCUUACACGUAAAUCGCGUGUUUCCGCGUGACUGCGCAGGUUACUAUUGGUCUAGUUCUUCCACUCUCAAUGCACUACGCCGUCCUAAGUUGUUUUUUCUGGUUCCAUGGCUUUACAACGCCGUAAACCGCAUGCACACGCCAUGAAAAUGCUAUAAUACGGCCUUUUGACGCCUAUUAAAUGCCUUACACGUAAAUCACCGGGUUCCACGCGUCCAAGCAUGUUACCAUUGGUCUAGUUCUUCCACUCUCAAUACACUACGCCGUCCUAAGUUGUUUUCCCUGGUUUCAUGGCUUUACAACGCCGUAAUCCACAUGCACACGCCAUGAAGAGGCUAUGAUACGGCCUCUGGACGCCUAAUAAAGGCCUUACACGUAAAUCACGUGGUUCCACGCGUCCAAGCUUGUUACCAUUGGUCUAGUUCUUCCACUCCCAAUACACUACGCCGUCCUAAGUUGUUUUCCCUGGUUCCAUGGCUAUACAACGCCGUAAUCCACAUGCACACGCCAUGAAAAGGCUAUAAUACGGCCUCUGGACGCC